UACGGAGGAUGCGAGCGUUAUCCGGAUUUAUUGGGUUUAAAGGGUGCGUAGGCGGCCUGCCAAGUCAGCGGUAAAAUUGCGGGGCUCAACCCCGUACAGCCGUUGAAACUGCCGGGCUCGAGUGGGCGAGAAGUAUGCGGAAUGCGCGGUGUAGCGGUGAAAUGCAUAGAUAUCACGCAGAACCCCGAUUGCGAAGGCAGCAUACCGGCGCCCGACUGACGCUGAGGCACGAAAGUGCGGGGAUCAAACAGG
rnacentral:rRNA from 1 species